AACGAACGCUGGCGGCAGGCCUCAUACAUGCAAGUCGAGCGAUUAAGACUCCUUCGGGAGUGUAUAAAGCGGCGAACGGGUGAGUAACAGGUGGAUGAUCUACCUUCCGGUGGGGGAUAACGGCUGGAAACGGCCGCUAAUACCGCCAUUCGGUUAAUACGCUGCGGCGUAUUAAAGAAAGGCGCUUCAAAGCGCCGCCGGGAGAUGAGUCCGCCCCCCAUUAGCUAGUUGGUGAGAUAACAGCUCACCAAGGCAACGAUGGGUAGCCGAACUGAGAGGUUGAUCGGCCACACUGGAACUGAGACACGGUCCAGACACCUACGGGUGGCAGCAGUAGGGAAUAUUGGGCAAUGGGCGAAAGCCUGACCCAGCCAUGCCGCGUGAGUGAUGAAGGUCCUAGAGAUUGUAAAACUCUUUUACUGAGGAAAGAAUAAAUAGGGAAGGAAAUGUCCUUAUUUUGACGGUACCUCAGGACUAAGGAACGGCUAACUCCGUGCCAGCAGCCGCGGUAAACUCG
rnacentral:rRNA from 1 species